AUUGAACGCUGGCGGCAGGCCUAACACAUGCAAGUCGAGCGAGCGGCGGAUGGGUGAGGACUGUCUGGGAAACUGCCUGAUGGAGGUGGAUAACUACUGGAAACGGUAGCUAAUACUGCAUACCAUCAGAUGUGCCCAGAUGGGAUUAGCUAGUGGGUGGGGUAACGGCCCACCUAGGCGACGAUCCCUAGCUGGUCUGAGAGGAUGACCAGCCACACUGGAACUGAGACACGGUCCAGACUCCUACGGGAGGCAGCAGUGGGGAAUAUUGGACAAUGGGCGCAAGCCUGAUGCAGCCAUGCCGCGUGUGUGAAGAAGGCCUUCGGAUUGUAAAGCACUUUCAGCGGGGAGGCGUUACCCGCAGAAGAAGCACCGGCUAACUCCGUGCCAGCAGCCGCGGUAAUUC
rnacentral:rRNA from 1 species